rnacentral:rRNA from 1 species
UACGUAGGGUGCGAGCGUUAAUCGGAAUUACUGGGCGUAAAGCGUGCGCAGGCGGUUCGUUAAGACAGAUGUGAAAUCCCCGGGCUUAACCUGGGAACUGCAUUUGUGACUGGCGAGCUAGAGUAUGGCAGAGGGGGGUAGAAUUCCACGUGUAGCAGUGAAAUGCGUAGAGAUGUGGAGGAAUACCGAUGGCGAAGGCAGCCCCCUGGGCCAAUACUGACGCUCAUGCACCGAAAGCGUGGGGAGCAAAGAGGAUUAGAGUACCC